CCUUCACCAAGCUACUAACAACUCCAUCCUUAACAGUAGCAUUAGCUAUAAAUUCAAUUAGCUCAUUUCUGGAUAAUCUUCUAUCCAUCUGAAUGACCAUGUCCUUCCAACCUUGAGCAGCUAAAAAGUCUGCCAAUCUCAUCAUCUCUGGUUCAACCAUGUCCUUCAAUGAUCUACUUUUUAAAAUCUUUCUUUUACCAAAGAUGGAAAACUUGUCCUGUUCCUUCUCAGAUUCAUUUUCUUCUUCUUCUUCUCCACUCCACUCUUCAUCAUCUGAAACUUUUGUUUGUUUAGAUUUCACUGCAUAUCUUGUUCUCUUGGCUAGUGAGGGUUUAACAGACAUAGGUACAAAAGACUUGGAGGAAGUCUUAGGCCUUUUAGGUUUGGGUGUAGGAACCUCCACUGUUAUAUCCCUUUCUUAAUGGACCAUUUCUAUCUCCUUUUCCUCUACAACCUCAGAGAAUUCUGCAAUCUUUCCCCUUCCUUCUUCAUUUUUUUCUUGCUUUCUUCUAAGGUCUUUUGUAGAUCAGCUUCAGUUUGUUUUACCCUGCUUCAUGUGGUUCUAUCCUUAGGUACUGAAGAGACAUUAUGUGUUGCGGAUGAGGCUUUUAUUUUCUUGGAUGGCUUGGGAACAUUUGGGGCUUUUGGUGUGGUAGCUUUGUGUUUUUUUGGGUCAUAACUUGCUUUAACCUUUUUUAGUAGAUCAGCAAAGAUUUCUCAGUAGAUGAAACAGGUUCAUCUCUUUGUUUGCUUAGAUGAACCAACCCCUCAGC
rnacentral:lncRNA from 1 species